rnacentral:rRNA from 1 species
GCGAUGCCGCGAGGCGGAGCGAAUCUCAAAAAGCCGGUCUCAGUUCGGAUUGGGGUCUGCAACUCGACCCCAUGAAGUCGGAGUUGCUAGUAAUCGCAGAUCAGCAUUGCUGCGGUGAAUACGUUCCCGGGCCUUGUACACACCGCCCGUCACGUCACGAAAGUCGGUAACACCCGAAGCCGGUGGCCCAACCCCUUGUGGGAGGGAGCUGUCGAAGGUGGGACUGGCGAUUGGGACGAAGUCGUAACAAGGUAGCCGUACCGGAAGGUGCGGCUGGAUCACCUCCUUUCUA